ensembl:lncRNA
CGCGUGUAUGUGUGAAUGCGCACACGUCUACGUGUGAGAGCGCGGGUCAAUAAGUUAGCGAUCAGGAAUGAGAGAGAACAGGAGCUACCGUAAAGGCUAAUGUAGAAACGCAAGAAAAUGUAUGCGGCGUAUAAUGCUGGGCAUACACUGUGCGAUUUUGGCCCAUUUUGAGCCCAUUUUUCAGUCAGUCAGACCGUUUUGGUGAUCGGCCCGAGUUUCGCCUUCAUCGUGUGUCGUGCAACGUGUAGUAUACAUCGGGUAACGAGAAGCGAUUAACAAACCAGCUCCCGAUCAUCAAUCGUUUGGUCGUAAGAAAAUCAAACCUGUUUGAAAUGAAGUCGGCCGUCAUGAGGGUGUCAACGCAGCCUCCCACACUGAAAUGAAAGUGAAAAGAUGGAGCAGCACGGCAGUGCAGCGUGUGAUCUGGACACAAGCGAUGGAGGCACAACAUGUAGAACUUUGGCAAGCUCAUCUGAGCCUUUUCGAUGUGGCCUCACAAAAUUAUCACGACACAACAACCGUGAAAAUAGUUGGAUUGUCACUGCUGCUCAAUCACAGCUGCCUGGUCAAUGUUUUUCAUUAGCAAUUUAGCAAAGUUGAUGGUGGUGGUGUGCGUGUCAGUUAAAGACGGAGAAGGAGAGCGAGAGACAGAUUUUGUGUUAUAACCUUCAUGUUAGGGAUGCACAGUGUGAGCACUCAGGUCGCAGACCCUGCAUCGUGACCUACGAACUUCUAACCCCUGCGAGUCAAUCGUACAGUUUGAGCAGGAGCUGAAAAACGCGACUGAAAAAAUCGCACAGUGUAUGCCCAGCUUAAGAGGCGGCUGACUUGACCACGGUGUAAAAACUGCCGUCCUUACCGGAAGUCACUGUCUGAGUAAACACCAUAACAGCCGGGAGUUUCUGUUAUAGUAAGUGAAAAGUUAAGUUUCAUAUUCAUUUUCCGGGACAUCAACUGCUGUCUAUGGCGGCAAAAGAGACCAUACUAUCAGGACCAGUGUCAUAAACUAAACCUGAACUGAAUCUGCGUAGUCGUGGGCAAAUAUUUUUCUUCCCUUGUGCUGACCAGAGUUUGUUUAGGAAGGAGAUAUCUAAUUUUGAAAAAUAAAAAAUGGAGAGAAAAAGUCUGCUUCCAGGAUUUCCACUGGAAAAUUAUGAGAAAGACAAAAAGGAAGAAAAAAGAAUUAGCCUGAAGAAAAGAAAGAGAGUCACGGAUGAUGAAGAUGAGAACAACUUGUGGCGUGUAAAAUGUGGAACCAAAAGGGGCAUCCUAGAUGUAGAGAAGUUGAAAAAAGGUGAGGCAUGUAUUGAGUAUAAAGGCUGCUUGUACAGUCCACCUGAGUUUGAGAAGCUUGCAGGAAAAGAGCCAUGUAGAAAAUGGAAGUCAACUAUUUUCUACAAUGAACUACCUCUGCAGUUUUGGUUUGAGGAAGGCUAUCUAACCACUACAGGAUAUAGACCAAAGAAAAAAAAACGAAAAUCAUGCGACUCAACAGAAGAAAGUGAGGAAGAUCAUGUUGACGAUGAAGAUGAGGAUGAAGAACGGGAAGAUGAGCAUAUGGAUGAAGAGGAUGUUGGUGGUGAUGAGUCUAGCAGUGAGGAUGAUGAGGAUGAAGAAAGUGAUAAUGAUGAAGACGAGACUGCGCCUGCUGUUGCCUCUAACCAUACUGACAGCAGUGAUAUCAAAGAGAGAGUAACAGCUACAAUUCCAACACCUGGAAAACAUGCAUUAGAGAUGAAAGAAGUAAAGGGUAUCAUUAACAUCCUUCCUGAGAAGACUAGACAUCAUCCUGACAUGCCAAGAUCUGAAGUCACUGAAAAUCCCAGAGAUGUGGCAAAAAACACAGCAAUCAAACAGCAAAAUGUUAAGAAACAACCUGAAGAGAAACUGCGUCCUUCCUGUGAAGCUCUGCCCGUGUCAGAUGAGUGUGAACAUAAAGAUGUCCCCUGCUCUGGCCACAGUGUAGCUGAAGUACAAUCCAUGAUGCCAGAGAUGAGUGUGGACAUGUCAGAGGCCCGGUUGCCUGGGCCCUCAGCCAGCUCUGGCUUGAAUACAAUGGAUCUUGAUCAACUGAAGAGGAAAAAAAUAAAAAUGCAACUGAAGGUUUUAAAAUUACAAGAAGAGUAUUACACUUUGAAAAUAAAAGAACUGAAAAAAUGAGGAUUAAUGUAAAGCUGACAUUGCAGACAAUAAAUUAAAAGAUCGCUGUUUACAUCCACAAACUGACACACGUUAUCUGGAGGUUUCUUGGGUGGAAUGUUACUUUUGACAAAAGCUACAAAAUCAAGUGUGCUGCAUUUAUACACCGUACUUUGUCGUUGCUGUACUCAGGUUUCCUUUAGUAUUGUUGAUUACCAUGUUUUACUUUGUUAUUAGAAUUAAACAAAUAGCUGAUAUUUCCUUCCUGUAAAAUGUGAAUAAACAAUAUUGAUGCUUUUUAUCUGUAAAUUUUGCAAGUGUUAUGAAACUGUGUUUCCUUUGGACUUUGCCCAACCUGUAGUAAUAGUUGUAAGAAGUAGCCUUUAAACAGCAUCGUGCAAUGUCUUGAGCCACAGCUCAUUUCUUUAUGUUUUGCUUCCAAGGAGCAAGAACUUUUAGAAAUUUGCAAGAAAAUAACAAUAUGUGCUCUUUUACUUUGAAGCAUUGUUAGUAAUACAUCAAUCAUAUCUGUGACAGAUGAGCAUAACUGUUUAAAUUCCAAAGAAAUUAGACCCCCCCAAAAAAUUCAUGUAAAUUUGUCCAACCAUAAUGAGAAAAUAUGAAAUGAAUAAAGGAGAGUUACAGUGAUGUGCAAAAGUCUUGAGCCAGGACACGUCAUGCAGAGAUAUGUUAAGUGUCCAGCUAAUAGAUCUUUGGGCAUCAGUUGGUUCCACAAUAAAAAAAAUUCUGCCUA